rnacentral:rRNA from 1 species
UACGUAGGGGGCUAGCGUUGUCCGGAAUCAUUGGGCGUAAAGCGCGUGUAGGCGGUUCGGUAAGUCCGCUGUGAAAGUCGGGGGCUCAACCCUCGGAUGCCGGUGGAUACUGUCGAGCUUGAGUACGGAAGAGGCGAGUGGAAUUCCUGGUGUAGCGGUGAAAUGCGCAGAUGUCAGGAGGAACACCAAUUGCGAAGGCAGCUCGCUGGGACGUUACUGACGCUGAGACGCGAAAGCGUGGGGAGCAAACAGG